AGCUUCGUGGUGUUUCACGCAAGAGUGCAAAUCUUGAGAAGGACCCUAAAGGUGUCCCGGGGCUU
rnacentral:tRNA from 1 species